CCCAAAGUACUGAGCUUACAGGCGUGAGCCACCACACCUGGCCAACAGCACAGGUUUUUAAAGAUGACCACAUGCAUUAUGUGCACAUCAGAUACAAAGUUGAUGAGCAAAGAAUCCUAUGGCCAACAUAAGGAUUUGCUUCCUGGACAAGCAAAGCCUGCCACUGGAGACUGCUUCUGCGUCUGCACACAGUGCCUGCUACUUGCUACCCCCGAGGAUACACCAGGGAGCCUCUCACCUUCAGGAGUGUAUUUUUGCUGUGGCUUCCAGAGAGCUGUGGCCCCUUCACCCUCGGACACAUUCCCUGCUUCCCCUCCUCCUCAUCACAGUUUCUUCGAGUCAGUGGGUAGAGUUUAAAGCUGACUUGUGCUGGGCGCAGUGGCUCACACCUGUAAUCCCAGCACUUUGGGAGGCUGAGGCGGGUGGAUCACAGGAGGUCCAGAGUUCAAGACCAGCCUGAGCAAAAUGGAGAAACCCUGUCUCUACUAAAAAUACAAAAUUAGCCAGGCAUGGUGGUACGUGCCUGUAAUCCCAGCUACUUGGGAGGCUGAGGCAGGAGAAUUGCCUGAACCCGGGAGGCAGAUGUUGCGGUGAGCCAAGAUUGUGCCAUUAUACUCCAGCCUGGGCAACAAGAACAAAACUCCAUCUCAAAGAAAAAAAAAAGAAGCUGACUUGUGCAAACUUGUUCAUAGCGGGAGUCCCGCCCGGAGUCCUGAGGAGGUGAAGACAGAGUUGCCUGCAGCCCUGGGCAUGGCCUCCUGCAGAGGUGGGUAUGGGACAACAAGACCCAUCUGCAGGGAAGGAGGCCAUCCUAACCACAUUUGGAUUCCUCCCAGGAAUCUCAAAGAUCAGUUCUGCCUCUGCCCUUUACAAGAGGUGGUUUUAUGAGUUAAUACAUUCUUUCUGCCUCUGUCACUUCCAAACAGGGAGUUGUGAUUCAUACAGGAAGUGGCUGCGCCCUCUGCUGAUCUUACCUCCUGGGCUGGGUUUCUCCAGCCAGCUCCGCA
rnacentral:lncRNA from 13 species